UCCAAAUCCUAGAAUUUUUCUUCAGAGUACAUCACAAGAAGGAACAGUCUCUUCCUUCCUAGUGGGAAAGUCAGGGUUUCUUUCAUUUCCACCUUGUUCGCUUGUAACCGCUCUCACCAGGCAAAGUUCUGAGCAAGUGAGAUGGACUCAUCUCGGAACUCCAGGCUGUGUUUACAUAAUUGGUAAAAGAAACAUUCCAAUCCCAUUCCUUCGUCAGCUCCGACAGACCAACCAGCAUCCCCCUCCCACUUGCCACUUUGAUAGGGGUGACUGGUAUCUCCAUCUCCUUAUCUUUGUUGAUCAUGUUUCUGGGUUUCCAAUUGCGUCAAUUUAACUGGUUGCCAAUAAUUCUGUCAUCUGAGGGGAAAGCAGAAUCUCAACUGAACAUGCAGAUGUCCUAUUGAGACUUUGCCCAUAAGGGAGCGUCUUUGGUGCUUAAAAUUCCAUCUUUUGGACCUCAUAUCAGUUGAUGUUUUUAGUUGCAUCGGAAACCAACUCUAAGUGAUUUAAGCAGGAGAGAAAGUUAUUUAAGGAUAUUUAUAGUUCACAGAAUCUCUGGAGGAGCGGGGGGCUAGAAAACCAGACUUGAAGACUACACAGAGAGACUCCGAGUCCCCCUGGGACUGACCUGAGAUGACCAGGGAGCUGGUAUUUUUAGCUUCCAGAGGAGCCUCAAAAUUACAGUUAAGUCUACAGUCAGACAGAAG
rnacentral:lncRNA from 1 species